GAAUAAAAUGAUGUAGAAACGGA
rnacentral:piRNA from 1 species